rfam:Chelonia mydas contig107496, whole genome shotgun sequence.
AAGGCUAUGCUUUCAGGGGUCAUUUCUCUAGUUGAUGACUGGAGAAGGGUGGCUGUAAAAGCCUGGUCUUGCUAACCACAAUGAGGAGCUCUAGUGUUUUUUUCUGAGCAUGACAAUGGCUGAGAGUGCUGUUCUGGGGCAGCUGCUUUCUGCUGUGGAAGAGUAUCUUGCUCUUCCAGAGCAGGGGAAGGAAACACAAUCUGAGUGGU